GAUUUUGGGAAACUACCUGAUAGAGGGGGACAACAGUUGGAAACGACUGCUAAUACCGCAUACAGCCUUAGGGUGAAAGAAGCAAUUCGCUAUCAGAUGUGCCCAAAUGGGAUUAGCUAGUAGGUGAGGUAAAGGCUCACCUAGGCGACGAUCUCUAGCUGGUCUGAGAGGAUGAUCAGCCACAUUUGGGACUGAGACACGGCCCAGA
rnacentral:rRNA from 1 species